AUUAUACCGUGAAACUGCGAAUGGCUCAUUAAAUCAGUUAUCGUUUAUUUGAUAAUACCUUACUACUUGGAUAACCGUGGUAAUUCUAGAGCUAAUACAUGCUGAAAAUCCCGACUUCGGAAGGGAUGUGUUUAUUAGAUAAAAAACCAAUGCCCUUCGGGGCUCCUUGGUGAUUCAUAAUAACUUUACGGAUCGCAUAGCCUUGCGCUGGCGACGGUUCAUUCAAAUUUCUGCCCUAUCAACUUUCGAUGGUAAGGUAUUGGCUUACCAUGGUUUCAACGGGUAACGGGGAAUUAGGGUUCGAUUCCGGAGAGGGAGCCUGAGAAACGGCUACCACAUCCAAGGAAGGCAGCAGGCGCGCAAAUUACCCAAUCCCGAUUCGGGGAGGUAGUGACAAUAAAUACUGAUACAGGGCUCUUUUGGGUCUUGUAAUUGGAAUGAGUACAAUUUAAACCUCUUAACGAGGAACAAUUGGAGGGCAAGUCUGGUGCCAGCAGCCGCGGUAAUUCCAGCUCCAAUAGCGUAUAUUAAAGUUGUUGCAGUUAAAAAGCUCGUAGUUGAAACUUGGGUCUGGCUGGCGGGUCCGCCUCACCGCGUGCACUCGUCCGGCCGGGCCUUCCUUCUGAAGAACCUCAUGCCCUUUACUGGGCGUGUUGGGGAAUCAGGACUUUUACUUUGAAAAAAUUAGAGUGUUCAAAGCAGGCCUUUGCUCGAAUACGUUAGCAUGGAAUAAUAAAAUAGGGCGUGCGUUUCUAUUUUGUUGGUUUCUAGAGACGCCGCAAUGAUUAACAGGAACAGUCGGGGGCAUCAGUAUUCAGUUGUCAGAGGUGAAAUUCUUGGAUUUACUGAAGACUAACUACUGCGAAAGCAUUUGCCAAGGAUGUUUUCAUUAAUCAGUGAACGAAAGUUAGGGGAUCGAAGACGAUCAGAUACCGUCGUAGUCUUAACCGUAAACUAUGCCGACUAGGGAUCGGGCGAUGUUCUUUUUCUGACUCGCUCGGCACCUUACGAGAAAUCAAAGUUUUUGGGUUCUGGGGGGAUUAUGGUCGCAAGGCUGAAACUUAAAGAAAUUGACGGAAGGUCACCACCAGGCGUGGAGCCUGCGGCUUAAUUUGACUCAACACGGGGAAACUCACCAGGUUCAGAUGAAAUAAGGAUUGACAGAUUGAGAGCUCUUUCUUGAUUUUUCAGGUGGUGGUGCAUGGCCGUUCUUAGUUCGUGGGGUGACUUGUCUGCUUAAUUGCGAUAACGAGCGAGACCUUACUCUGCUAAAUAGCCAGGCUAGCUUUGGCUGGUCGCCGGCUUCUUAGAGAGACUAUCAACUCAAGUUGAUGGAAGUUUGAGGCAAUAACAGGUCUGUGAUGCCCUUAGAUAUUCUGGGCCGCACGCGCGCUACACUGACAGAGCCAACGAGUUCUUUCCCUUGGCCGAAAGGUCUGGGUAAUCUUGUUAAACUCUGUCGUGCUGGGGAUAAAGCAUUGCAAUUAUUGCUUUUCAACGAGGAAUGCCUAGUAAGCGCGUGUCAUCAGCAUGCGUUGAUUACGUCCCUGACCUUUGUACACACCGCCCGUCGCUACUACCGAUUGAAUGGCUCAGUGAGGCCUUCGGACUGGCUCGGGGAGGUUGGCAACGACCACCCCAAGCCGGAAAGUUGGUCAAACUCGGUCAUUA
rnacentral:rRNA from 1 species